rnacentral:rRNA from 1 species
UACGUAGGUGGCAAGCGUUGUCCGGAUUUACUGGGCGUAAAGAGCGCGCAGGCGGUCGUUCAAGUCGCGUGUGAAAGCCCCCCGGCUCAACUGGGGAGGGUCACGCGAUACUGAUCGACUCGAAGGCAGGAGAGGGUAGUGGAAUUCCCGGUGUAGUGGUGAAAUGCGUAGAUAUCAGGAGGAACACCGGUGGCGAAGGCGGCCACCUGGACGAUAACUGACGCUGAGACGCGAAAGCGUGGGGAGCAAACAGG